GCGGCUUAAUGAUGGUCAAUUUGUGAUUCAAUGAUGAAUAAGAAAGCUGAUGACAGCUUCACUCAGGGUAAGGACUUGGAACGUGAAGGUUUCUACCUACCUGUGGCUUUUUGGCAGCUAAACUAUUCUCCUGUCAACUUUCAUUCUGUUAAUUGCCAUGGCAAACAAACAUUGUUUCAGAGUGACAAUGCAAAUCCAAUUCCUAAUACCUGCUUCUCUAAUUUAUAUUUGGAAAGUGGCCCUCUGCAUUUCCUGUAGCUGCUGAAGCUCACAACAAUGUGGAGGAAUGGGCUGCUAGAGCCAG
rnacentral:misc_RNA from 1 species